GUGGUUGCUAGGCAGUUGCUAACGUUUUCCAGGUGGUUGCUAAGUGGUUGCUAGGCAGUUGCUAACAUAUUCCAGAUGGUUGCUGAGCGGUUGUGAUCAUUUCUAAAGUGGUUGCUAGGCAGUUGCUAAUGUUUACCAGGUGGUUGCUAAGAUGUUGAUAACUGGUUGCUAGGUUGUUGCUAUCAUUUCUGAAAUGGUUGAAGUAGAGAAAAAGAGAGAGUGUUAAAUGUAGAAGUACAGAAAAAGGGAGAGCAAGAAAUAAAGAAGUAGGGAGAAAAUCGCGAGAAAAAGAGAAAGAACACGCGAGAAUGUGAGAAAAAGAGUGAAAAGUUGAGAGAAAUAUUGAGCGAGAAAAAGAGAAUUAGAGAAAAAGGGACAUCGAGAAAUAAAGAAGUAGAGAAAGAAAGAGGAUGUAGUAGAGAGAUAGAUAGAAAGAGAAAGCAAGACAUAGAAAAGUAGAGUGAAAGAGAAGUAGAGAGAAGAGCGAGAAAUAAAGAAAGAGUAAGAGAGAAUAGAGAAAUAGAAAAGUAGCGAGAAAGAGAAAUUGAGACGUAGAGAGAGAGUGAGAAAGAGAGAAAGAGUGAGAAAUAGAGAAGUAGAGAGUAAAAGAGAGAGUGAGAAAUAGAGACGUAGAGAGAGAGUGAGAAAGAGUGAGAAAUUCAGAAGUAGAGUGAGAAAGAGUGUGAGAAAUAGAGAAGUAGAGAGCAAAAGAGGGUGAGAAAUAGAGAAGUAGAGAGCAAAAGAGAGUGAGAAAUAGAGAAGUAGAGAGAGAGUGAGAAAGAGAGAAAGAGAGAGUGAGAAAUAAAGAAAUGUAAAGAGCAAAAGAGAGAGUGAGAAAUAGAGA